rnacentral:rRNA from 1 species
CCUAUGACAUAGCAUUAAUGCAUCGGAGCCCAUUAGAACUCCAUUAUUAAGCAUGCUCAGGUUAGAGUAGUACUGGGAUGGGUGGUCGCCCGGGAAGUCAUAGUGUUUCACAUGC